GAUGAACGCUGGCGGCGUGCCUAAUACAUGCAAGUCGAGCGAACGGACGAGAAGCUUGCUUCUCUGAUGUUAGCGGCGGACGGGUGAGUAACACGUGGAUAACCUACCUAUAAGACUGAGAUAACUUCGGGAAACCGUAGCUAAUACCGGAUAAUAUUUUGAACCGCAUGGUUCAAAAGUGAAAGACGGUCUUGCUGUCACUUAUAGAUGGAUCCGCGCUGCAUUAGCUAGUUGGUAAGGUAACGGCUUACCAAGGCAACGAUGCAUAGCCGACCUGAGAGGGUGAUCGGCCACACUGGAACUGAGACACGGUCCAGACUCCUACGGGAGGCAGCAGUAGGGAAUCUUCCGCAAUGGGCGAAAGCCUGACGGAGCAACGCCGCGUGAGUGAUGAAGGUCUUCGGAUCGUAAAACUCUGUUAUUAGGGAAGAACAUAUGUGUAAGUAACUGUGCACAUCUUGACGGUACCUAAUCAGAAAGCCACGGCUAACUACGUG
rnacentral:rRNA from 1 species